GAUGCAACGCGAAGAACCUUACCAAGGCUUGACAUGAACCGGAAAGGCGUAGAAAUACGUCCCCCACUUGUGGUCGGUUUACAGGUGGUGCAUGGUUGUCGUCAGCUCGUGUCGUGAGAUGUUGGGUUAAGUCCCGCAACGAGCGCAACCCUCGUUCUAUGUUGCCAGCACGUGAUGGUGGGGACUCAUAGGAGACUGCCGGGGUCAACUCGGAGGAAGGUGGGGAUGACGUCAAAUCAUCAUGCCCCUUAUGUCUUGGGCUUCACGCAUGCUACAAUGGCCGGUACAAAGGGUUGCGAUACUGUGAGGUGGAGCUAAUCCCAAAAAGCCGGUCUCAGUUCGGAUUGGGGUCUGCAACUCGACCCCAUGAAGUCGGAGUCGCUAGUAAUCGCAGAUCAGCAACGCUGCGGUGAAUACGUUCCCGGGCCUUGUACACACCGCCCGUCAAGUCACGAAAGUUGGUAACACCCGAAGCCGGUGGCCUAACCC
rnacentral:rRNA from 1 species